UUACACAUAUAGUUAAACAUUGCUUGAUCAGGCAUGUAACUAACACAGACUCUAUUAUAUGACAAACUAACCCACAUGAUACAUAAGGCAUUUACUAACACAUAGGAUCUAUUGUAUGGCGGACUAACCACGCGCCACUAACACAUUAACAUAUAACAUAAGAAAUCCAUUGUGUGACUUGUUUAGCUCAUGCUUAAGGCAUUUUGGUCACAACUAACGGCCAUCAAUCAUCGACUGGUGCACUCUGUAUGAACUAAAUUGAUACAGAGGAGGCUCUUAGACCAAAGCGGCCUUCUCUGUGUGUGGGUGCCUCCCUAAACCUGCAGCUCUUCAAAGCGGGGAGUGACGCACACGCACACAGAUAAUGCCACAAUGUUCAGUUCUGGCUGGACACAGUCAAGGCCAAGCACUAGUGGUCCGGUCAGACACGUGAAACGGAUUACUAACACGUGAAAUUAUGCAUACUAACAUGAGAUGAUUUUAGCAACGCCUCAUCAGCAGGUUUCACGUCAUUUGGGGUAUAAACAUGGAGUCAGAUCAGAGGGGGGUCAGAACUUAUACUGGGACGGCUGUUAGACGGUCUUUCAUGUGUGGGUUCUCCUGAAUAUUCAGCACUUUGUAAUAAAUGCUUGGUUUGCUUUCAACUUCA